GGUUCGGAAAGGGCAGGGAACUCACUGUAUGUAAACUGGAGGAGGCAGACACGGACCAGAAUGACCAAUAAAUGACUGAAAUGAGCAAGAAAACGAAAGCUUAUUCAAUGGACCAGCUACAGCUUGUGUGGCUCAAUAAGUGUCUCUGAGGAGAGAGAGAGAAAGAACAGGGGCACUGUCUCUAAAAUGAAUCUCUCUGGGAACAUGAAACCAACACAAAGCUAAAAGCCCAAUGCAGCAGGAAACCAGACUCACCUGUUCCCAGCUGUGUCCAUGAAGAGUGACCAGUCUAUGGGACGACCAGACGUAUUCAGAAAGGGAGACGGAUCUACUGAACAAAGUUGAAGCCCAAUCCAGCAGGAAGGGCCAGAUUCACCUUUUCCCAGCUGUGUGUCCAGGAAGAGUGACCAGUCUAUGUCCCAUAGACUAUAUCUAUUCAGAAAGGGAGACGGUUCUACUGAACAAAGGUAUGAGAGCUGUAUUACACAGGUAAGCCAUCCAGAAAUAACUUGGUAUACAAAAUACUGAACAUUUCCAAUUUCUACUUUUUAUUUAGACUGAAUGGGUAUAACCUUACAGAGAGUUGUUGUGCUUUUCUGGCCUCGACUCUCAGCUCAAAUUCCUCACAAAUGAGAGAGCUGAACCUGAGUGACAACAACCUGCAGGAUUCAGGAGUAAAGCUGCUCUCUGCUGGACUGGAGAGUCCACACUGUAAAUUGGAGACACUAAGGCUGUCAGGCUGCCUGGUCACAGAUGAAGGCUGUGACCAAAUCCCUCCCAUCUGAGAGAACUGGACCUGAGCUACAACCACCCAGGAGACUCAUGAUUAAAGCUGACCUCUGCAGGACUGGAGGAUGGAAAACUGGAAAAACUCAAAUAUGUUGAGGGACAAUGACCCAGCACACCUCCAGGUUGUGUAAGGGCUAUUUCACCAAGAAGGACAGUGAUGGAGAGCUGCAUCAGAUGACCUGGCCUCCACAAUCACCCGACAACCCAAUUGAGAUUCUUUGGGAUGAGCUGGACCGCAGAGUGAAGGAAAAGCAGCCAACAAAUGCGCAACAUAUCUGAUAACUCCUUCAAAACUGUUGGAAAAGCAUUCCAGGUGAAGCUGGUUGAGUUCAUGCCACAAAUGUGCUGUCAUCAAGUAAAAGGGUGGCUGCUUUGAAGAAUCUAAAAUAUAUAAUAUAUUUUGAUUUGUUUAAAACUUUUUUGGUUACUACAUGAUUCCAUGUGUUAUUUCAUAGUUUUGAUGUCUUCACUAUUAUUCUACAAUGCAGGAAAUAGUCAAAAUAAAGAAAAACCCUUG